rnacentral:rRNA from 1 species
ACGGGUGAGUAACACGUGGGCAACCUGCCCUUGAGACUGGGAUAACUUCGGGAAACCGGAGCUAAUACCGGAUAAUAUAAGGAACCUCCUGGUUCCUUGUUGAAAGAUGGUUUCGGCUAUCACUUAAGGAUGGGCCCGCGGCGCAUUAGCUAGUUGGUGAGGUAACGGCUCACCAAGGCGACGAUGCGUAGCCGACCUGAGAGGGUGAUCGGCCACACUGGGACUGAGACACGGCCCAGACUCCUACGGGAGGCAGCAGUAGGGAAUCUUCCACAAUGGACGAAAGUCUGAUGGAGCAACGCCGCGUGAGUGAUGAAGGCCUUCGGGUCGUAAAGCUCUGUUGUUAGGGAAGAACAAGUGCGAGAGUAACUGCUCGCACCUUGACGGUACCUAACCAGAAAGCCACGGCUAACUACGUGCCAGCAGCCGCGGUAAUACGUAGGUGGCAAGCGUUAUCCGGAAUUAUUGGGCGUAAAGCGCGCGCAGGUGGUUUCUUAAGUCUGAUGUGAAAGCCCACGGCUCAACCGUGGAGGGUCAUUGGAAACUGGGGAACUUGAGUGCAGAAGAGGAAAGUGGUAUUCCA